UAUGGCCACAUCACGUUGAAACACCAUUUCUCUUGCGAUCAUCGAAGUUAAGCAACAUCGAGCUUGGUCAGUGUCAAGAUAGGUGACAGCAUGGGAAUACUAGGUGCUGUAA